CAAUCCUGAAAAAAACUUGAAUCAGCACGCGGACUAUCCGCGCCACUGACCGUGCGCGAGGACCUUGUGUGUUCAACAGUUAACACCCUGCACUCUGCAAAUUUCCAUUUCCACGCGACGACGACGAAGAGGAGGUGGGAUUCGGAGGAGUAAAUCCUAACAGCCGUCUCGCGCCGGUGGUCCGGUGCCCGCGCGAGAUCGGGGGGGGGGGGGGGGGGGGGGGGGGGGGGCGACAUCUAGGGCGCGGUGCCGGCCAUGGCGAGCUCUGGACUCGCCUACCCCGACCGCUUCUACGCCGCCGCAGCCUACGCGGGGUUCGGCGCUGGUGGGGCCACCUCCUCCUCUACGGCCUGCACAGCAGGCCACAGUUGGUCCGUGCAAUGUGCCCAAGCCAAGGGCGUGGAACCCCGUGGAGCAGAGCAAAUGGGCCAGUUGGCACGGACUUGGAAGCAUGCCAUCGGCUGAGGCGAUGCGUCUUUUUGUCAAAAUCUUGGAGGAGGAAGAUCCUGGAUGGUACUCAAGGGUUCCUGAGUUCAACUCUGAGCCCAUUGUAGAUAUUCAAAUGCAUAAACCAAAAGAAGAGCCACAGAUUGUACCGGCUUCAACGAAUGGAACAUCAAUUUCAGAACCAAAAAUCAUUUCUGAAAAUGGAAGUUCUGUGGAAACACAGGACAUAGAUGUUAUUUUGGAAGGCCUUAGUACUGUUAGUUCUCUUGACGAAUGGACACCAUUAGCUAUCAGUGGCCAUCGUCCGAAGCCUCGUUAUGAGCAUGGAGCAACUGUGUUGCAGGAUAAGAUGUAUAUAUUUGGCGGAAACCAUAACGGGUGUUACCUUAGUGACCUCCAGGCUUUGGAUCUGAAGAAUUUGACUUGGUCAAAGAUUGAUGCCAAAUUGGAAGCAGAAUCUUCUGAUUCAGCAAAAACCUCACAAAUUGCUCCUUGUGCUGGCCAUUCAUUGUUUUUCUCCAUUGCUGGGCAUACCAAAGAUCCAUCUGAAGGUGUUACAGUUAAGGAAUUUGAUCCGCAUACUUGUACCUGGUCUAUUGUCAGGACUUAUGGAAAAUCACCGGUUUCUCGCGGAGGUCAGACAGUGACUCUUGUUGGAACAACACUAGUUUUGUUCGGUGGUGAAGAUGCAAAACGGUGCCUCUUGAAUGACUUGCACAUUCUUGAUCUUGAAACCAUGACAUGGGAUGAUGUGGAUGCAAUAGGCACCCCUCCUCCGAGAUCGGAUCAUGCUGCUGCUUGCCAUGCUGACCGCUAUCUUUUGAUUUUUGGUGGGGGAUCUCAUGCGACAUGUUUCAACGACCUACAUGUCCUUGAUUUGCAGACGAUGGAGUGGUCAAGACCCAAACAACAAGGCCUGACGCCAAGCCCAAGAGCUGGCCAUGCUGGUGCAACUGUCGGGGAGAACUGGUACAUAGUUGGGGGUGGCAAUAAUAAAAGUGGUGUCUCUGAUACUCUUGUUCUUAACAUGUCAACUCUGACAUGGUCAGUGGUUAGCACUGCGGAAGGACGAGUUCCCCUUGCCAGUGAGGGCAUGACUCUAGUGCAUAGCAAUUACAAUGGAUACGAUUAUCUCAUCUCAUUUGGAGGAUACAAUGGACGAUACAGCAAUGAGGUUUAUACACUUAGCCUCAAAUCAGAUUUUAAGUCCACCACAAAAGAAGAAACUGUCUCAGAUCUAGGGUCGUCGAACCAGAGGUUGAAAUGGUGAUUGGCGUGGACAGUGCUGAUUCAGACCUGAAGAACAGUAGUACAGUACUGAUGAAGCAAGUGAACAGUUCUUAGCAGCUCUCAAAGCUGAGAAAGAGGAACUAGAAGCGACACUUAACAGGGAACAGCUGCAAACUGUACAACUUAAAGAAUACAUUGCUCAAGCAGAAUCCAGAAAUGUGGAACUCACAAAGGAACUUCAAGCCGUCCGUGGCCAACUUGCUGCUGAGCAGUCAAGAUGUUUCAAACUUGAGGUCGAUGUUGCGGAACUACGACAGAAGCUUCAAAGUAUGGAUGCAUUGGAAAAGGAGGUCGAGCUGCUUCGACGACACAGAGCCGCGUCAGAGCAAGCAGCGCUGGACGCAAAGCAGCGGCAAAGUUCUGGGGGCAUGUGGAGCUGGCUCGUUGGUACCCCUCCUGAUGAUAAAUCUGAAUCGUGAUCGCGUCGUGAGGGCAGCACUUUAGUUCAUACAGGCCGUGAUUCAUAUAUUAUACUUGUAACAUUUAUAUACCCGUUGAUAUUUUUUUUACAGUUACUGAAUUCGUGUUCAUUUUGACCACAGAAGAUAAGGAAAUCAUUAGUUUUAUGCCUUGUUUUGGCGUAUUGCAAUCACUCAAAUGUAUCAGGAAGUUUCAACAUUAUUUCUUGAAAAGCUAGAUUUCAACAUUGUCAUC